UACAGAGACUGCAAGCGUUAUUCGGAUUCACUGGGCGUAAAGGGUGCGCAGGCGGCCAAGUGUGUGAGGCGUGAAAGCCCGGGGCUUAACCCCGGAAUUGCACCUCAAACUACAUGGCUAGAGCAUUGGAGAGGGUAGCGGAAUCCACGGUGUAGCAGUGAAAUGCGUAGAUAUCGUGAGGAACACCAGAGGCGAAGGCGGCUACCUGGACAAUUGCUGACGCUCAGGCACGAAAGCGUGGGGAGCAAAAGGG
rnacentral:rRNA from 1 species